AACGAACGCUGGCGGCAGGCUUAACACAUGCAAGUCGAACGAGAUCUUCGGAUCUAGUGGCAGACGGGUGAGGAACACGUGGGAACAUCCCUUUCAGUUCGGAAUAACGUUGGGAAACUAACGCUAAUACCGGAUACGUCCUUCGGGAGAAAGAUUUAUCGCUGAAAGAUUGGCCCGCGUCUGAUUAGCUAGUUGGUGAGGUAAUGGCUCACCAAGGCUACGAUCAGUAGCUGAUCUGAGAGGAUGAUCAGCCACAUUGGGACUGAGACACGGCCCAAACUCCUACGGGAGGCAGCAGUGGGGAAUAUUGAGCAAUGGGCGCAAGCCUGAUCCAGCCAUGCCGCGUGAGUGAUGACGGCCUUCGGGUUGUAAAGCUCUUUUGUCCGGGAAGAUAAUGACUGUACCGGAAGAAUAAGCCCCGGCAAACUUCGUGCCAGCAGCCGCCGUAA
rnacentral:rRNA from 1 species